GGAUUAGAUACCCUGGUAGUCCACGCUGUAAACGAUGGCAACUGGGUGUCUCGGGUAUUGACCCCCGAUGCGCCGAAGUCAACACGUUAAGUUGCCCGCCUGGGAAGUACGGCCGCAAGGCUAAAACUCAAAGGAAUUGACGGGGGCCCGCACAAGCGGUGGAGCAUGUGGUUUAAUUCGACGCAACGCGAAGAACCUUACCUGGACUCGAAAAUGCAGGAAGUUGGCUGAAAGGCUGAUGUGCUCGCAAGAGAGCCUGUAUCAGGUGCUGCAUGGCUGUCGUCAGCUCGUGCCG
rnacentral:rRNA from 1 species